AUUUACACCUACAUACAGUGUUUUUUGUUAUGAUGUCACACAUCAUAACAAAAUAACUGCAUGUAAAAGGAGUGAGGCAGGCUUUCUUCAUCCUUUGUCCCUCCUCCUUUCACGAGUUCUGUUUUAAAUAGAGAGCAAGCUUAGUUGGGAGAAGAGUAUCUACUUCUUGAACGCACCUGUGACAUCCAUUAGUCAGACUGUGACAACCACUUGUUCAAGGAGAACAGCAACAUAUUUUCUUACUUCGUGUUCUUCUGAGAUCCAAAAUUACAGCAAUGGACAAUCGAAGCAGAGUUGUGUUCGCAGUCGUCAUGGUAAUGGCGUGCAUGGGAAUGAGAGCUGAGGCACAGAUCUCCACAACAGCUCCAAAUACAACAAAUACAACUCUUUCACUAAACAUCUCAAGGGCAAAUUGUGGAAACAAACAGUUCUGUGCUGCUCAGCCAGCAGGCUGUGACCCAUCUGUGUCUGGAUCCUGUUUCUUCGUCUCAACCAGUCAAAUCUCCGGACAGAACAUUUCCUUCCAGCUUCAAGGACAAUCCAGUGGCUACGUCGCUGUAGGGUUGUCCAGAACCAUUAACACGGGACAAAAUGACUCUGUCUAUGUGUGUGCUAAAAACAACGACAACAUCACUGUCAAUUUCUCUUCCAAUCUUUACAACAACGGAACUCUGACUCUGAACAACAUGCUGCCCUCUAACCUGCUGAAGGGCUCAAUCAGUAAUCUGACCAUCCAGUGCAUCUUCUCUGCUACAGUCCCCGAUGCUACUUCCCCCAGGAGCAGCAGUACCUCCUUUUUCAUUUCCAUCUACAACGGGACCGUGUCUAAUGGACUCCUAGGUAGUCCUAAGGCUAUCUUUACAAGCACUGAAGCCGUGGACCUGUCCAACAGCAAUGCGACCAACAGCAACAGUUCUACAACAGCCUCACCAACCACCACAGCUAACCACGCUUUUGGUCUACAACGCACCCUGUCUCAAGCUCUGCUGAUCCUGCUUGGUGGACUAGUUUUCAUCAUGCUGUAAUGUGGAUCUAAGUAGUAAACCACUUCACAUUCAGGAAUCCUGGACCUCUAUGGUUCCUGAAGCCAACCAGGCUGGGUUCCCAAGAAUGAAACUCCUUCUGAGCAGGGGUAGUAAGACAUUAGCCUACAGAAUUAAUCCAGUAAUAUAAGUUUAAUGUUGUGUUUAUAAGCAAGGGCUUUUCAGGUACAUUUAGCAUUGUUCAACCUCAUUACCUCCAGGAUUACAUAUACACGUGUUACAUUUUGUGACCACAAAACAUAAAAGCCUAGAUUAUAUUUAUGUUGUGUUGAGAAAAUGAAUGAGGUAUACACCUAAAACAUCCACCAUGUGUAAGUUAUUUACUUGAGCCCAGUCAUCUUUUACUUCAUCUUGGCUGAUGUCAAGUUAUGAAGGAGGACAAUUUUUCUUUUUUAUAGAUACUAUCUAGGCAUAUUCGUGAACAGUGGCGGCUGCUGGUCUUUCAAAGAGUGGAAGCUCAUUUUCGGCCUACAUUAUAACUGUAACGAUGUUCUUGUGGUGUAGUGUUGGCAAUGAACCAGGCGCUGGCAUAUAUCAGUUCGUGGGUUUUAAUAAACAACAAACAAACCAAACACGAACGGAAAACGAUAACUAAUCUACCGAAUGAAAAUAAAGUGCGGAACAACGCGUCUUAACAGCUAACAUUCAAACAGUACAUCAACACCACUCACCAACACACGAACAGGCAAAACAACAACAAUGAUCCACAAUGUGGGGAGCAGAGGGGAAACAUUUAUACACAUACAAAUGAUGUCAAUUGGGACCUGGUGUGAAAGAUUGGAGACAUGUGACAGUCCGGGAUGUGUUCGUGUGAUAUGGGAACUUGAGAAUAUAUGGCACGGUGGCGCUGCUGCUAACCGCACCAUGACAAUAACCCUCUGAUGGUCUUCAUUUGUAGUGACACUCGGGGUCUUUGGGGUCUUUUGGACCCAAGACAAUGGCAUAACAUUUUUUAACAGAACAAUAUAUAUAUUUUUUUUUUUACAAAUUUAAAUUUACUCUGUUUAUUAAUUUUUUACUUAACAUUUGUGCAGUUUUUGGAGGAUUUAUGAUAUCUUAAACAUUUCUAUGAAUACAUAAAUAUUUAUUUAAAUAGGUUUUUUACAAAAAUGCAUUUUACAUAUAUUUCACUUCAUAAAAGACCCAUUUAUGAAUGAAUUAACAAAAAAAUAUAUUAAACUUUGUGAAACUUAUACAAGGAUUGUGGUGUAGCCUAUAAUUGUGUGAAAUGUAUGAUGCAAAUCGGCUAGCAAUUUCGCCAAACAAAUAUCAAGAAAUAUUGCAGCAGUUUGUCUUUUCGAAUACAUUUGAGAAAUCCGCGAUGGGUCUGAGCUCAAAACAGCUUCAGUGACUUCUUAUACACUCACCUAAAUUAUUAUUAGAAACACCUGUUAAAUUUCUCAUUAAUGCAAUUAUCUAAUCAACCAAUCACAUGGCAGUUGCUUCAAUGCAUUUAGGGGUGUGGUCCUGGUCAAGACAAUCUCCUGAACUCCAAACUGAAUGUCAGAAUGGGAAAGGAAGGUGAUUUAAGCAAUUUUGAGUGUGGCAUGGUUGUUGGUGCCAGACGGGCCGGUCGGAGUAUUUCACAAUCUGCUCAGUUACUGGGAUUUUCACGCACAACCAUUUCUAGGGUUUACAAAGAAUGGUGUGACAAGGGAAAAACAUCCAGUAUGCGGCAGUCCUGUGGGCGAAAAUGCCUUGUUGAUGCUAGAGGUCAGAGGAGAAUGGGCUGACUGAUUCAAGCUGAUAGAAGAGCAACUUUGACUGAAAUAACCACUCGUUACAACCGAGGUAUGCAGCAAAGCAUUUGUGAAGCCACAACACGCACAACCUUGAGGCGGAUGGGCUACAACAGCAGAAGACCCCACCGGGUACCACUCAUCUCCACUACAAAUAGGAAAAAGAGGCUACAAUUUGCACAAGCUCACCAAAACUGGAAGAAUGUUGCCUGGUCUGAUGAGUCUCGAUUUCGGUUGAGACAUUCAGAUGGUAUAGUCAGAAUUUGGCGUAAACAGAAUGAGAACAUGGAUCCAUCAUGCCUUUUUACCACUGUGCAGGCUGGUGGUGGUGUAAGGGUGUGGGGGAUGUUUUCUUGGCCCCUUAAUGCCAAUUGGGCAUUGUUUAAAUGCCACGGCCUACCUGAGCAUUGUUUCUGACCAUGUCCAUCCCUUUAUGACCACCAUGUACCCAUCCUCUGAUGGCUACUUCCAGCAGGAUAAUGCACCAUGUCAUAAAGCUCGAAUCAUUUCAAAUUGGUUUCUUGAACAUGACAAUGAGUUCACUGUACUGAAAUGGCCCCCACAGUCAGCAGAUCUCAACCCAAUAGAGCAUCUUUGGGAUGUGGUGGAACGGGAGCUUCGUGCCCUGGAUGUGCAUCCCACAAAUCUCCAUCAACUGCAAGAUGCUAUCCUAUCAAUAUGGGCCAACAUUUCUAAAGAAUGCUUUCAGCACUUUGUUGAAUCAAUGCCACGUAGAAUUAAGGCAGUUCUGAAGGCGAAAGGGGGUCAAACAGUAUUAGUAUGGGGUUUCUAAUAAUCCUUUAGUUGAGUGUAGUACAGACCGCUAUCAGUCAAAAGGAGAUGCAGUUUGACAGACCGUCAGAUCCUCCAAUUAUCACGCGGAAGCCCACUCCUCAUUCACACCCAGAGACGCUGAGUGUCCAUGGGCAGGACAUAAUCGCAGCAUUUAUCCAAUCACUGUCUACUUUCGGAGCACUGAAAAAAACUGUUCUAAGCAGCCCCAUUGAAGUCAAUGGACGCUCGGCUUCAACAGGGAAAUGCACUGUGACGCUGCGGGAUUGUAUGAGAAGAAAAUCGAGUCAGCCGACCUGUAGCUGAUUCUGAACUAACUAGUUUUAAAGAUGAACGUGUUAUAACACAUUUUUUGUCAUUAAAAUAUUUACACAAUAGUACAUAUUUGACCAUAAUUUUUUUGGACAUUAUAGGGGAAGCCGAGCUUCCCUUGCAAUCUUAAAGAAAUCCCCACUGUUCGUGAAGCCAUCCCUACACAGUAUGAGUUCCUAUGGGGAUCACGGCCUGUAUGAGGCGAAUGUAAGUUCUCACCAAACCUGACCACUGCUGACUAAGCGCGUAUGUAUACAUUUCCAUAAAAAGUUAUUACUAGAAUCAUAUGGCUGAUUUUUGCUAAUAUCUAGGUAUUCUCAGUCCUGUACAUAUUUUGUGUCCCUAUGGGGAUAACAGCCUGCGUGAGAGAAAUAUUAGAGUGGAACCAAUUGGCCACUGCUGACUGAUCACAUAGUGUACAUUUCCAUAAAUAUCCAAAAAAGUAAUCACUAGAAUCAUACGGCUGACUUUAGCUAACGUCUCGCCUGGUAUAUUUGGACCAAAUCUGUCACCAUUACGCAUUGGAUAAUCCAAGUCUUCAUUUGUUUAUGAUGCCCAAUCAAAAACAGCGCUUCGACUAUGUUAAUCACGACUGGAGACAUGACCUCUACAACGCAGGAGUGCUGGGAUGUCAUAGGGGUCAGUCCCAUAGUGACAGUACACAACAUGGCGCAUGCCACAGGUCACCGGUCAAUAAUGGCGAUUACCAACGUAGUUUUCAUACCGUUAAUGCAAGAUAGCUCUUUGUUUUCCACCCAAAACAUUUUAGAACAUAUUUGAUCAUAACCAAAAAGCAGAGGAAAGGUUAUUCUGUCCAGGAACACUUUCUACCAGGCGACGCGAAUGACCAUUCAACUCAGAUGGGCGACUGUGUCAACACCCGUCCAGAUUACAUGUAAGUACAUCGCUGUGUAUGAUGUAUAUUGCUGUAUUAUGUUGUUUGUAUUAUAAAUGUGAUAUAAAAAUGUCCUUCUGUAUACUAUGGGGAUGGUCU
ensembl:lncRNA